GAUGAACGCUGGCGGCGUGCCUAAUACAUGCAAGUCGAGCGAACAGACGAGGAGCUUGCUCCUUUGACGUUAGCGGCGGACGGGUGAGUAACACGUAGGUAACCUACCUAUAAGACUGGGAUAACUUCGGGAAACCGGAGCUAAUACCGGAUAAUAUUUCGAACCGCAUGGUUCGAUAGUGAAAGUUGGCUUUGCUAUCACUUAUAGAUGGACCUGCGCCGUAUUAGCUAGUUGGUAAGGUAACGGCUUACCAAGGCAACGAUACGUAGCCGACCUGAGAGAGUGAUCGGCCACACUGGAACUGAGACACGGUCCAGACUCCUACGGGAGGCAGCAGUAGGGAAUCUUCCGCAAUGGGCGAAAGCCUGACGGAGCAACGCCGCGUGAGUGAUGAAGGUCUUCGGAUCGUAAAACUCUGUUAUUAGGGAAGAACAAACGUGUAAGUAACUGUGCACGUCUUGACGGUACCUAAUCAGAAAGCCACGGCUAACUACGUG
rnacentral:rRNA from 1 species